rnacentral:lncRNA from 1 species
CUGGCAACCAACCACUGCCCUAGCAACCAAAAAGGCACUAUGAAGAGGAUGAAAACUCCAAGAGGUCCGGAGUAGAAUGGAUACUACCUCCACUGAACUGUAGCUUUGCAGGUCAAGGACCAACCUGCAGCCCUCUAUGGACCAAUGAGACAUCACUGAAUCCGCAGUGGUCCCUUUGGCAGCAUUAUGUUCUCAAACUAAAGAAAGGAAUCAUCUUGACAUAGACCUCAGCUUCCCUGCUCUAUGCAGCCAGUACAGCUGGACAGACACUGGAGGCACAUAAUCCAACAAGAAGCACACAAAGGCUCUGAACACAGAAGAGAAAGGCCUACCAUGCUACUCUGGCUGACACAGUCUGAGAAAGCGUUCAGAUGCAACAAGGACAGGUUUAUUAUUUGGCUGGAAUUAUUGAAAAGUAAUUGUAAAAUAGAUUCUAGAGAAAGUAUUAAAAAAGUAUUAAAGUAUUAAAAUAUUUUGUUACUUAACACUGAGGACAAAAUAAAAGCAAUUGAUAGAUCUGGGAGCUUAGCAUGAGUAAAUAAUGAAAACUUAAGGCUUAUCCAAUUGCUCUCAUGAACUGCUAGUGAAGGGGUAGAAUAUGAGCUGCAGGAAAACGUCUUCAUCUAAAGGUGAACAAAGGCACUAUCAGUAAAGGCAGGAUCGGUUUAGCUCCAGCAGGACCCACCAAAAUAUGGCCGUCUGGCUCCACCACAGAGCCUACAGCCCAUGGUUAAUAAACGCAUAGCUAUAUAUUUCAUUUACUCCAUCUUCAUGGUUAAAAAAAAUUUUGCAAAAUCUGUAUGGGAUUCCAAAUGAAUACAAUUGAGGGAACUUGCAUAAAUGUCUAGCCACAUAUGUAUAAAUACAGUCUCCUUUUAUUAAUGUCUUUCACUACUUCUUAGGCUGUUUAAAUGAAGCAUUUAAUAAACUAAAUUAAAACAUUCCCAUCCCUGCGCUUCUCAGAUAACAUUGCAUAUAAUCAGAAGAAUAACCCAUAGAAGAACUUAUCACCUACUCCUUGAAAUGCCUUUGUUAAGAAAAAGAAAUUUAAUCCCUUCCUAAUUAUCAUUUUAUUUGGGUCAUUUGAAUUUAGGGAACUUGCUCUUCCUUUGUCCUUGUUCUAGUUUCCUCUGAGAUAAUUUUCUUCAUAGUGAUUGGUAUGAUGCUAUGUUUUCGAUUUAGGAUGAGAAUAAUGUUGAUAACACACCAAUAUUUUAGUUGUUGCUGAGUGGUGCUGCACAAAGUCAAGGACAUUUCUGCUUCUCACAGUGCCAUGCCAGCAAGGAGAUUGGAGAAGCUGAUCUAAUCUGGCCAAAGUGAUUUCUCAUACCACGUGGCAUUGUGCUGGAAAAUAAAAUUGAGGGGAGUUGGUCAGGGGAUUGCUCUGGCUGGGCAUCAGUUGGCAGUGAUGAGCAAUUGCAUUUUGCAUCAUUUAAAAAAAAUAUUUUUCUAUCAUUACUAUCUUAUCUGUCCUUUCAAACCGUCUUCAUCUCAACCUAUGUGUUUUACCCUUUUCUAAUUCUCUUUACCCAACACACUGUAAAGAAGUAAGCAAACAGCUGUGUAGUGCUUGACUCCCUGACUUGUUAAACCACAAAUUCUGUAUAUGAUGCUUCUUUGCACUAACACUUCAUAGAGAAAUACAAUGCCACAUCCCUGAAAGAGAAGUUCAAAUAUAGAAUAACUAUAGCUAUUACUAAGUUUGCAAUAUAUUAUUAUUUAGUCCCUGUAUUUGGUGCAAUUAGUGGGAUUAUCAUUGAUUUCAAAGUUCUUACACAUCUUGUUUCAGGAAAACAUCACAAGCAUGCAGAUUAGCUACGUGCUUCUACUUUUUCUGUCUUUUACAUCACUCUCAUUAUUCAUAUCCCAUUGACAUCACUAAAGACUUCACUGGGAGUAUGGCAGCAGUAGAAUUAGCAGUUGCAAGUAUUAUCCAUUUUCCAGGAAUUGAAGCAACAAUACAUGCAGAAAAGUGUGACUAAGCCAUACACAACCUCUGGAAGAUAAUGUUGCAUUGCAGUUUGCAAUCCCAAGCUUUUAAGUCUUUGAUGCUAGCAUUUCAUGGUUCAAAAUAGAAGAGCUUAUUCACCUCAAAAAACACCUCGUAUUUACAGGUAUGAAAAAGUAAGUCAUCACUAUGAAAUAAAACAGUUCAUAACACUUACUUAGAACAAAAAUAUUUAAUUCAAUUUGACAUGCUAUGAGUUACAAUGGGUUAAGAGAACUAAGGGUUUUCAGGCCUGCAAAAAGGAUAUAGCAAAGGCAGAUGCUGAAGUCUAGGAAAAAUAGACUAAAAAAUAAACAGAUGAGAUCUAAAUAUUAUGCACAGUAUUUAAAAACAAACAGGAAAAAACCCCAACUCUAAUAGAAUAAUCAACAGCUUUGUGAAGUGAAAUAUUCUGUUCAUAAAUCAUGACAGCUCCCCCUGAACUAAGCUGAUUUACAACACAGAACUAAAAACAACAAGCAAAAAAAAAAAAAAAUCUGGAAAACAAAACACUCAUACAUUACAAAAUAAACCGCAGGAUUAGUAGAAACACAAGAGACUUCUGACGGUCUUUUAAAUAGCUCCAAGGAGAGCUUCAGUCUUCUGAAAUUGAAUUCAUAAGAGUGAAAAUGAAAACAGUCAACCCUGAAACUUUAGCAAAUCGGUUUUUUUUGUUGUUGUUUUUUUUUGUUUUUUUAAAAGACAGCUUCUAAAUUCAGUAGAAAUUUUUUCCAGUUUCAGUUUAUGACAGGAAGAUUGCUUUUUAAGUAAAAAAUGAAUCAACACUAACUAUGCUUUGGAGACCAUUUAAAUCAGUAACUGGGCUGAAAAUUUCAUAUAUAGCCUUAUCCAAAAGCAAUUUAAUAAGUCAGAAAAUAAUUCCACUCUAAGUAUAUUGGUUAUACUGAAUUCUACUUUUAGUUAUUUUGCAAAGGCAUCUCAUACUUGUUAUGUCUUAACAAACAAGAAUAAAAAUGAGAGAUCCUUAUUUUUAAUAGAAAUCUGAUAAGACACUGAGAGAAAGAGAGAUAAACUUACUGAAAAGAUUUUAAUACCUUCCCAAUAGGAAAAAAAAUCAUAAUUGACUUUUCAGAAGACUAAAAUUUGAGGACAACUUUACGAUUUACCCAAAGUGUGCUUCUACAGUAAUUAAGAUUUCCAUCUAAAAGCCAUGGUCCUUGUUUGACUAUCUGAGAGGCACUAAAUCUUCAACUACAUGGAAAAUAACUACAUCUAGUUCAAACAAUAUUACAGGAAUUUCAAACAGUAAGCUUCUAUCUUCUUCUCCAUAAAAGAGGGCUACUUAACAGAGCAGGUAAAUGCAAAUAACAUAUUUUUUUAAUGCAUGAGAAAGGUAUUCUCAAUUUACAUUUAAAUUAUCAAAUAGCUUUUAAGUUGAUUUGUCUUCCAAAUCCCAGUUCCAUUAUCAGAAUUACUGCAUGCAUGUUAGUUCACUUUUUGACUCUGUCUGAGGGAACUAAUUUUGAGAGGUUUUUUUUGGUGGUGGUAUUUUUGUUUGUUUGUUUGUUUGUUUUGUUUUGUUUUGUUUUUCCCCUAAAGCAGAAUUUAGGUGAAGUAUAGAGCAUAAUUCACAUUUGUGAGACUCAGCCACUAGCAGAAUUCCACUAAAAUAUGGUUCCUAAAUCUACAUAUCUCUACACAUUUGUUCAGUGGAUUUUGCACUUCCAAAUUCUCAAUAGAAGACCUUCAGCAGGACAUGUGAUUUAUAGGAAGCUGUAAAAAAAAAAAAAAAAAAAAAAAAAAAAAAAAGGAAGCAAAAGUAGAGCAUCUGACUUAAUGUUCUAUGAACUAAGAACCACUUGCAAAAAUAUUUCGUAACUACAGAAAUGCCACGUGGAUCUAGAUAAAGUAGAUAUGCCCAGUUGUUAUGGAGGGUGUCUUUGAUAGGAAGGGAUCCAGGAUCAAGUCAGUGCCCAGCACUAGAUCAAGGCUAGGUCUCACUCUGCAGAAAGGUGGCUUCAGCAGUGCCUCUGGGAAAAAAAAAAAAAAAAAAAAAAAAAAAAAAAAAAAAAAAAAAAAACAGAAGAAUUUUCCAAGAAAGAGAACAGAGCAACGGAUUAUCUGUCAAACAGCUCCACAGCCAAAGAUCACUGAAGCAUUGGGUCCUGGCUGAGAGAUAGCACCACAGGUCUCCAAGGGCCACAAACAUUGAAAGAUUGAGGACCUCUGCUGCUCGAUAAUUUUGUCCAGAAGCCCACUGGGGAUUUCCCAUACCACUGGGAUAGUAAACAAUACAGACAGAAGGGAUUUUCCAAUAAAAGUUUCAAAGAAAAAGCAACAACAACAACCACUAGGAAUCCUAAAACCACAGACACAGAAAAUGUGAUGCAGCAUAACACAACUAACAGAAGCAUUGUUCUUCAUCAGUAAAGAAAUCAAAAACAAAACCAAGCAAGACUGUUUUCCCUAAAAAUCUUUCAUUGCAAAUUAAAUACAGUAGUUUAUACGGAACCCAGAAGAGACUGACAUACCUGAUCCAUCAUCAUUUGUAAUUAUUUCCAAUCAUGAAACACUUUUGAGAUACCAAUCUAGAAAUUGAAUCAGAAGGACAUUUACUUUUUAAUAUUAAAAUUUUAUAUGCUAUUCUUAAUAAGCAGACUAGUAGAUAUAAUACAAGAUAAAAUAUCCUAAUUGUUAUUUCACACAUCAUUUCAUACUUACAUACAUCACAUAAAACAAAAAAAAGAUCUGAAAUAUGAUCAGCUAGUGUAGGAGGAAUAAGUCAAGUUGUUUAUCAAGUAGGGAAGUAUGAAAACAAGUAGACUUACACCGCUGAUGUGAAAUAAAGAAUUAGAAAGCAUUACUUUCAAUCUCAACAUGACUAACAGCAACAUUAUUUUAUAUUCUUAAUGACCUCAUAAACAUGCCGCUCUAAUGUCGAACUUGAAACGAUUAUGUUUGUUAUUAUAAAUAUACAGGUAAAUUUUAAUUUUCUAAUAUUUUUAAACCAGAGAUAAAUUCAUUAAAAAAAUGCAUUUUCUGGAAGAAGGAUUUGGCACGGUAUGAAACCAUAUUUCCCCUGGGCUCACAACAUCAAAAAAUACAAUAUUUUUCUGUGUGGUUUCAAAAAUGAGUUCUGUUCAGCUUGAGGGUAGCUUCUACUUUACACUGAAGAAGAGAAAGAUUUACUCACACUCUCCACUGCAAAACUGAAGUAGAUUAUCCCUCA